GCUGUGCUGGCUGGAGGUAAGGCUGUGUGCUUUUUCUGGUUGUUUGUUUAUUUUAAACGCUUUAAUUUAAUUUUCCUGUCUAGGCCUGGGGUAAUGUAUGGACUUGAGUUUGCCGUGGGUGUUUGAAAGCGGCCUGGCUUUGUGCUAAUUCACCUCUGGUUGCUGAGACAAUGCUUUAAAAGGAGUUUGAAAUCUUAAUAGUGCACCAAAUUCCUGUUUGUGGGCAGAGGCUUUUGUGUGACCCAGUGGAUAUCGCAUUUCCAGUGUCACUCCUUGGACCGACAUCUCCAGAGUUCUUUGGGACAGCUGGUGGGACUGAGGCUGGCCAAACUCCGAAGGCAGCAGAAUCCCAGUCAACAAAGGGUGCUUUGUUUCCCUCUCUGUUGUUGACACCUGGAGCACAGAGGGAUUGGUGCACUUUGGUUCUAAAAUCUGCAGUCCUGUCUUGGGCUGCCCAGCUGCAAAAACAGUGAAAGCUGUGCCUCUGUGACCUUGGCUGCCGUGGAGCUCCACGGUGCCCUGUUUGCAGGCCUUGGGACUGCAAGGUUUUCAGGCCUGUGGCCACAAAAGUUAUUUUUCUGCAGUCGCAAACCAAAACACGCACCUUAAGUCUCGCAGGAGAGCGAGCGAGGCGAGGCUCAGCAGCAGUCACACAGGGAUCAAACAGUGUUUACAAGAAAGGAAGCCACCUGAGAAAUCACCCUCGAUGGUUUUACCUGAUGAGAGAGCUCUGCUCCAGGACUGUCGCUGCCCCAGGCUGACACACACGGGCCAGAGGGGCUACAGGCUGUGGGUGAGGCUGCACCCCAACACCUCCAGGGGAGCAUUCCCAGCUCUCCUGCCGUAAAUCCACGGGGAGCUGGCUGAGAUACGCUGGACUGGAGUGGAGGCAGCGCAGGAGCUGGCUGGAGACGUUGCUGUGUGAGGAAGAAUAAACACACGUGAAGCUUCUCCCCGAUUUAACAGUAGGAGUCACUGGUAUGGCACAUGUAUUUUGAGAACAAGGUUCGGCAUGCAACAUGGAAAACCAGCGAAUAUACGCCAGGGCUUCUCCUCUCGCACAAUUCCUCUGACCCCACUAGAGGGCAGGGAGGCUCUGUGAAAGCGCAGGGUGGGGACAGCACAGCCAUCCCGGCGGAGACAUCCUGCGCCUUCGGCAGGAUCCUGCUUCCUGACGCAGUCCUGGGCAAAGCUGGUUUUGCUGCAGCCUGGGCUGGGGCAGGAGCGACCCCUCGUUGCCCAAAUUCCAUCUUCUCCUUCUCUGCCCGCCCGAUACCCCCCCCAUCUACCGAGGUGUCUCCUGCUCUGCUCCAUCCCUCCUGCCAUCCUCCCAUCCCUCGCUGGAGCACUCUGCUCUGGAGAAGAGCGAGGCUGCUCCGAGGAGGGACAAGCAGCCUCCGAGCACGGAAUAUCUUGGACUAUCGGCGUGUUUGAUGUUCCUGGCCCUUGGGAAAGCAGCCAGAGGCAGAGCGGGGCUGCAGCUGGAGGGUGAGCCUGAGGGAGCUGGGGAAUGGCACGGGGGCACUGCAGCCAUAGCCGGGUGAAGAUGAGGAAAGGGCUUACUGAGCAAAGCUGGCCCUGUCUCUUGCCUUCACCUUAAAAAAACCACUUUUCUUGAAGGGCUUUCAGGAAGAUCCUGCCCACAGAUGUCUGUGCCCUAUUAGGGUAUUGCUCAAUGGUGUUUGUCAGGGCCAGUGUUUGUGAAGUAUGGUGCAGGCCGCGGGUCUCCUGGGGAUCCUCUCUUCUUGUUUUUUCUUUAAUUCCAGUUAGCAAGGCAUUCUCUCGAAAGUUUGGGCAGAUAGCUUUCAAAUGAAUUGUUUAAAUCAGGAUGUCGGACAACCUUUGAUGUACCCUUUGGGGAAACCAAGUAAUCCUCUGCUUGCUCCUGCGUGCCCUUCGCUGCUGCACCUAUUUUUGGAGCCAGAAAAUACAUUUGCCAGCUGGUGUGGGAAAGUGUAAGGGGAAUGGACUGUACUUCUUUCCUAGGAAAUAAAUUUUGAGCACUUGCCUUUCUGACACAGCUGGGAGCAGAGCAUGGAGCCCAGUGGAGGCAGGGCUAAGGUUCAGCUGGUCACCCUGCAGCUGGGCUGAGCCAAACUGGAACUUUGCAUCCUGUGCCCACGGCAUGGGUUUGUGUACCUCAGGCACACUGGUCGCACAGAUGUUUUUUUAUAACAUAGAUUUUUUUUUUUUUUUUUUUUUUAAAGCUCUACAGGUUGAUGUAUUUGGCUGUAUUAUAGCCAGGCAUUUAAAUCUCUAAGCCUUGGAGACAUAUUCCCAAGCAGAGCAGAUAUAGUAACACUGUUGGUGCUUUCUUGGGGUAAUAGACCACCUUCUGUAUCUAAAACUAAGCACCAGAAAAAAUGGCACCUUUAGCUGGAGUCUCCUAAAUGGCAAGAAUAGAUUGCAGCUGGAUGCAGAACUCUAUGAGCAGGAGAGGCCUCCUCAGGGCAGGAGAGGUAGAAAAAUACUUUGGUUUUGUGGGUGCUCUGGGGCAGGAUGCCUCUUCCACCACUGGAAUCAGUGAUGAGCAAGCUGUGAUUUGUUUCUUGCUGAGCAGAGGUGUCACGUAAUACCCGAGGAGUUCUGAAGCCUGCAGUCCUUUUGCAAGGUGCCAUCUCCUUUUUCUGACUUGCCUCUAUCCUUUUGAGCUUUCUCCUUGUAGAAACCUCUCUGCCCAGCACCUUAGCCUCUGUUUUGUUUCCCGUGCCUUAUCUGGCUGCACUUCCAGCUUGUGAAGGAUCAGAGAGAACCCAGAGAGAGGACAUGGGGGCAGCCAAGAGCACAAGGAAGACAAAUAAGUGUAUUCUGUGGGUGGUCAGAGCUGUAUCUUCUGACUCCCAGCUGAAGAGGUUUUUCAGUGAAGAGGUUUUUCAGUAACCCCUGAAUGAAAAAGCUUGGUACCAUGGGAAUUGGACACAGGUUUGACAGCUGCAGGGUCUGGGGUUGCAAUCCUUGAUCAACAUUUGCAGCUGUGGCUUCUGCUUUGUUUCCAAGAUUAAUUUCCCAUCUUUGGAUUGGGGAUCCCAUUUCAACACACCCCAUUUUGCUGUAUUUUUUCUGUCAUUUUGGCUGCUGCCUCCAUAGCUCUGCAGCUGCCUCUGGCCUGUUGGUCUCCAACAAAUAAAUCUUGGCACGGUGGAA